GAUGAACGCUGGCGGCGUGCCUAAUACAUGCAAGUCGAGCGAACGGACGAGAAGCUUGCUUCUCUGAUGUUAGCGGCGGACGGGUGAGUAACACGUGGAUAACCUACCUAUAAGACUGGGAUAACUUCGGGAAACCGUAGCUAAUACCGGAUAAUAUUUUGAACCGCAUGGUUCAAAAGUGAAAGACGGUCUUGCUGUCACUUAUAGAUGGAUCCGCGCUGCAUUAGCUAGUUGGUAAGGUAACGGCUUACCAAGGCAACGAUGCAUAGCCGACCUGAGAGGGUAAUCGGCACACCGGAAAAUGAGCACAGGCCAAACAUCCAAGGGAGGGAAGAGGAGGGGAACCUUCGGAAAUGGGAGAAGGCUUGCGGGGGAACGGCCGGGGGAGGAAGGAAGGUUUUGGGAUGGUAAACCCUGGUUAUAAGGAAGAAACAAUGGUGAAGGUAAUUGUGACGAUCUUGACGGACCCUAUCAAGAAGGCAACGGUUAACAACUG
rnacentral:rRNA from 1 species